GCCGACGUGCGACACCCGCCGGCAGGUCCAGCCCCAGUCAUCUGGAGACAUUGAUAUGACCUGGAGGUAGGAGGGAGUAUCCUGGAGGAACCUGCAGACGUCUGGUCCACGACCAGAGAGCGGAUGAACCCCUUGACCGGCUCCCUGAUGAGGAGGGAAUACAUCCCGGUGCUGUGAGAAUCAACAGGAGCUCAUCACCGCGUCAGUAAACAGAGCCGGGCGCUCGAAUAGAGCCCGAUGUGUAAACCUUGUGCACUAAAUAAAAUUCAGAGCUCGUGGCGGCGUGACGAGCAGAGCGACAGAGACGGAAAAUGAUGGAGACACAGAGCGAUGGAGACGCCAAUCAUCGGCCUCGUUCAGAUUCGCUCCUACACGAGGAAGCCAGCCAGCCAGCCAGCCAGCCAUCCAUCCAUAAUGCAUCACGCGUCGCCUAGCAACAGCCGGGAACCUAGCAACAGGAUCUUAGCAACAGCAACAAAACCGCUGGCUGCCUCGCUCCGUCCGCCAGGGCCAAUGGAGGAGCGACGUUUCAGACCCAAAGGACCGCUUUACAGAGCGGUUGGCAUGGCAACAUAACGGACUAAAGUGAAACUUGGACGCUGGACUGGACGCUUGAACAUGCAGCAACAAGUACAUAAAAUUACAGAGACCAUGCUUGGAAAUAAAUAAAUAAAUAAAUAAAUAGUUCGGCCCAAGUCCCACCUGCUAACAUGGAGGAGA